rnacentral:rRNA from 1 species
AACGAACGCUGGCGGCAGGCUUAACACAUGCAAGUCGAACGCCCCGCAAGGGGAGUGGCAGACGGGUGAGUAACGCGUGGGAACAUACCCUUUCCUGCGGAAUAGCUCCGGGAAACUGGAAUUAAUACCGCCUACGCCCUACGGGGGAAAGAUUUAUCGGGGAAGGAUUGGCGCGCGUUGGAUUAGCUAGUUGGUGGGGUAAAGGCCUACCAAGGCGACGAUCCAUAGCUGGUCUGAGAGGAUGAUCAGCCACAUUGGGACUGAGACACGGCCCAAACUCCUACGGGAGGCAGCAGUGGGGAAUAUUGGACAAUGGGCGCAAGCCUGAUCCAGCCAUGCCGCGUGAGUGAUGAAGGCCUUAGGGUUGUAAAGCUCUUUCACCGAUGAAGAUAAUGACGGUAGUCGGAGAAGAAGCCCCGGCUAACUUCGUGCCAGCCGCCGCCGUAAAAC